CUACUCAACGUUUGGUUACUCUUGCUAUUCUAAAUCAGACUUAUUCUUCCAAGCAGUCUUCUUCAAAUCCGUUUAUACCUUUCCUUAUAAAUGACCAUUCAAUUUUGAAACGGGAGAGACAAAGGGAAGCCUUCCCAAACUACAUUACUGGAUGUCAAAUAGCUGGUCCAAGGUCUAAGCCAACCUUGCUGUAGAAGAUUAGACAAAUCUCUAGCAAUGGUAGCUCGACCAGACACCCACACCUCACUUGAUUCAUUGUGGUCAUCUUCUUCAGGUAUAGAGUCUUCCCAACAUCGAGUCAUUACUGG